rnacentral:rRNA from 1 species
UGGGGAAUUUUGGAAAAUGGGCGAAAGCCUGAUCCAGCCAUGCCGCGUGAGUGAAGAAGGCCUUCGGGUUGUAAAGCUCUUUUAGUCGGAAAGAAAGAGUCGCAAUGAAUAAUUGUGAUUUAUGACGGUACCGACAGAAAAAGCACCGGCUAACUACGUGCCAGCAGCCGCGGUAAUACGUAGGGUGCGAGCGUUAAUCGGAAUUACUGGGCGUAAAGGGUGCGCAGGCGGUUUUGCAAGUCAGAUGUGAAAGCCCCGGGCUUAACCUGGGAAUUGCGUUUGAAACUACAAGGCUAGAGUGCAGCAGAGGGGAGUGGAAUUCCAUGUGUAGCAGUGAAAUGCGUAGAGAUGUGGAAGAACACCGAUGGCGAAGGCAGCUCCCUGGGUUGACACUGACGCUCAUGCACGAAAGCGUGGGGAGCAAACA